AUUGAACGCUGGCGGCAGGCCUAACACAUGCAAGUCGAGCGUGAAAGCCCUUCGGGGUGAGUAGAGCGGCGGACGGGUGAGUAACGCGUAGGAAUCUACCCAGUAGUGGGGGACAACAGUCGGAAACGACUGCUAAUACCGCAUACGCCCUAUGGGGGAAAGCGGGGGAUCUUCGGACCUCGCGCUAUUGGAUGAGCCUGCGUUAGAUUAGCUAGUUGGUGGGGUAAAGGCCUACCAAGGCGACGAUCUAUAGCUGGUCUGAGAGGAUGAUCAGUCACACUGGAACUGAGACACGGUCCAGACUCCUACGGGAGGCAGCAGUGGGGAAUAUUGCACAAUGGGCGCAAGCCUGAUGCAGCCAUGCCGCGUGUGUGAAGAAGGCUCUAGGGUUGUAAAGCACUUU
rnacentral:rRNA from 1 species